AAGAGCUCUUUCCAUCUACUGUGGUCUCUCUGCUUACCAAGAAAUCAGAGUCUCUGGGGCAAGCAUUGAGUCAUUGUUCCUGCUGUGCCUUGACGGCCUGUUUCCAAAGUUGACUAGUGUUGUGGCUCUUACUCUUCACAGAGAGGAGAAACUGCUAAGCAGAAGUGACCUGGUCUUACAGGAGAAAUGGGGCAGAGCACAUGCCUGAAGAAGAACCUCCUGGACUUCAGGAAACUCUCUAGCACAGACUUCGUUCAUGGCUUUCAGCAAACCAUUUAGACCUCAUCCCAUUGCAAUCAAUGCAGAGAUUCCUGUUGACUUCAGUGGCCUUUGAAUCAGGUCCUGAGUCUUGGUGCCUCACGUAGCCAUCUGCGAAAUGGGGAUGAUUAUACCUCACAAGGAUGUCAUAAGGAUAAGUUCUUUAAUGUGCAAUAGAUAUUUAUGUGCUAUGGUGAUUUAGGCCAUAGGAAAACCUAGAAAGUAUGUGAUCUCCUCCACCAUCCUUUGCUCAGUGUUUGCUUCUCUUGUGUCAUGAUUUCACUCCUGCUUAACACAUUUCUUUUCCUCUGCCCCACUAUCACUCCUACAUGGAGUCUUGAAGGUGUUAAUUUUUAGACCUCUGCUCUCUCAUAAUUUCUUCCUCCUUCUCAGUCAUGUUGGCCCAUGGAGUUACAUGAGCGGCGAAUUUGCCAUGUUAUCUGAAUUUUUAUCUUAAUUACUUUAAUCACUUUUUGUGCUGAUACUCAGCUGCUCAGAUGUGGAGACUGGGAGUUAGAGCUCCUGGGUUCUGUUUCACUUGCUCACUCACCCUUCCUCUUUCACUCACUCUGUAAUCUUGCCAAAAACACAUUUAACUUCUCUUUUGGUCUGUCUGCUCAUUGAUAAAAUGGGUAUAACAAUACCAAUGCCACACAAUAACAUGAGGCUGAUUUUGUAAAACACUUUGAGACCCUAAGAUAUUCCUAAAGCAUUUUUAUUUAUGAAUUGCAGAUAGUGUGUGAUAUGGUUAGUGACUACCCUAUUCAACCUCUGUGUCAGUCUCACCCACAUAAAUUUACAGUUUUGCUCUAACCUCCUCCCCAUAAAUAGCUCAGCUUGAAGUGCAUCUCUUGGGUAUGAGAAGCAUUAUUAAGGGCUCAUCCCCUUCCUGAAUUCAGAUCUCCCACUUGACUCCUCUGUCCAUAAUCUUGGUAUCAUCCAUCAUCAUCUCCUCCUCCUGUAUCCCCUGUGUCUGUGCCUAUUACCACCUCCACUCUGCCUUGGAGAACAACUGUUUCAGCCUUACCUCUGCUCCUCCAUCAUUGACACUCUGCUUAGCUUGACUGUUUUACUUCUACCCUCUGGUGCCUUCCCAGAUUCUUGGAUCACAGCAUGCACAAAACACCCCCCUCAGAUUUGUUCCACAUAGCAGGAAACCCACUGCAUCGCCUAAUUCUCAGACACCUCUGCACACUCUCCCUCCCUUUCCCAAUCAAGUUCAGUUGCCCUUUCUGUUUUUAACACUCUCCUAUGGAGUUGUUUUGGCUUCUUUCACCUGCUGUGUGUCUCUCUGCUUCUUCCCCUUUCCUUCACUCACAUAGUACUCUCUCUCUGUCUCUCUCUUUCCCUCUUCUUCUCCCUCCUCUCAUAAAUCCUACCCCUUUUACUGCAAGAACCCUCCCCUCUUCUCUUUUUGGCAUCAGGAACAAACUCCCUAUGUCUCUCUGUCUCAUCAAGUCCCCAUUUCAUUUGAAAUAUAAUUUAAAACCCUCUCUUUUUUCAACUUGAGCCCAUUCAUUUCUCUCCUCCUGCUCUGGAGUCGUAAUACAUAUUUCUGUGUUUAUAGUAUAUAGUAAUAUCUUAUUGUAACUGUAAUAAAAAUCUGCAACUAUG